rnacentral:lncRNA from 1 species
GCGGGCCCGCCUGCCUUUCUCUUUUUCCUUUAUUCCCUCCCUUCUUCCUCCCCAGGCCGAGCCCGAGCAGCCCAGCGCCAGCGCCAACUCCCUUCUGUUCUUCCUCUUCCCUUCUUCCUUCCUUGCUAAUGCCCCCAAUUUGUAGCCAAAAUUAGUGAGUUUUGUUCCCGUUUAACCCACAAAACUGCAUCCCCUUGCUAUUUAGCACCCAAUGACACCUUGAUCUACUCUUUUCGUUGAACAUUUUGAGCUAAUUUCGUGUUCCUAAGUUGGGGCAAUGGUGGUGGUUUGGAGGAGUUUGGAGGUGGUGGUGGUGCUCAUUCGGUGACCGUGAGGCCGCUCGAGGUUGGGGUUCGCACGCUUCAAGGGUAAAUCCUAAUCUCUCACGUAUUUAUCCUAUAAUGUAUAUGUUUAUGAGGAUAUGUGUGUACGUAUAUAUAGAAGUAUGUUUUAGCAUUUGGUAGUGCUCAUUAUUUUGGACCACUGUUAAUGUCGUAGUGCUUAGUAUUUGAUGCGUCUAAAUAUUAUGGCCGGGAGUAAUAUGUUUUGGUAGAAUAGAUUUUUUUUUGAUGCCAUACUACUUAGUAUUUGACGCGUAUUAAUAUUUUUAAUAUGCCGUACUGCUUACUAUAUGACGCGUAUUAAUAUUUUUUAUAUGCCGUACUGCUUACUAUGUGACGCGUAUUAAUAUUUUUUUUGGAUGCCGUACUGCUUAGUAUUUGACGCGUAUUAAUAAUUUUUAUAUGCCGUACUGCUUAGUAUUUGACGCGUAUUAAUAUUUUUUAUAUGCCGUACAGCUUAGUAUUUGACGCGUAUUAAUAUUUUUUAUAUGCCGUACUGCUUAGUAUUUGACGCGUAUUAACAUUUUUUAUAUGCCGUACUGCUUAGUAUUUGACACGUAUUAAUAUUUUUUAUAUACCGUACUGCUUAGUAUUUGACGCGUAUUAAUAUUUUUUAUUUGCCGUACUGAUUAGUAUUUGACGCGUAUUGAUAUUUUUUAUAUGCCGUACUGCUUAGUAUUUGAUGCGUAUUAAUAUUUUUUAUAUGCCGUACUGCUUAGUAUUUGACGCGUAUUAACAUAUUUUAUAUGCCGUACUGCUUAGUAUUUGAUGCGUAUUCAUAUUUUUUAUAUGCCGUACUGCUUAGUAUUUGACGCGUAUUAAUAUUUUUUAUAUGCCGUACUGCUUACUAUGUGACGCGUAUUAAUAUUUUUUUUUUGGAUGCCGUACUGCUUAGUAUUUGACGCAUAUUAAUAAUUUUUAUAUGCCGUACUGCUUAGUAUUUGACGCGUAUUAACAUUUUUAAUAUGCCGUACUGCUUAGUAUUUGACGCGUAUUAAUAUUUUUUAUAUGCCGUACUGCUUAGUAUUUGACGCGUAUUAACAUUUUUUAUAUGCCGUACUGCUUAGUAUUUGACGCGUAUUAAUAUUUUUUAUAUACCGUACUGCUUAGUAUUUGACGCGUAUUAAUAUUUUUUAUAUGCCGUACUGAUUAGUAUUUGACGCGUAUUAAUAUUUUUUAUAUGCCGUACUGCUUAGUAUUUGACGCGUAUUAACAUAUUUUAUAUGCCGUACUGCUUAGUAUUUGACGCGUAUUAACAUAUUUUAUAUGCCGUACUGCUUAGUAUUUGAUGCGUAUUAAUAUUUUUUAUAUGCCGUACUGCUUAGUAUUUGACGCGUAUAAACAUUUUUUAUAUGCCGUACUGCUAAGUAUUUGACACGUAUUAAUAUUUGUAAUAUGCCGUAUUGCUUAGUAUUUGACGCGUCUAAACAUUUUUUUAGGCAUCAGAGAUGUCUGGUGUAGUGAAGUUUGUUUUUUACUACGGUUCCGGUACUGUCUUAACAACCGAGCACGGAGCUGAUCUGAGUCAGUUUAAGUAUGUGGAGUUGGAUCUAACGGCCCCUCAAACAUGGACGUUUAGUCAGCUACAGGAAUGGUUGGUACGAUGUUUAGCGCUCAAUGCUGAAACAUACACCGUCCGUGUGCAAGCAUUGUGGACCAAGUCAAGUUCAAAUAUUUUUUGGGUUUUGAGGCUGAUAGACCGGACAUCAAAGUGGGUGCGCUGGUUAGAAAGUUGCGAGAAAAGGGGAACUACACCUGUCACCUUAAUCCAGGUUGUCGCUCAUGAGACCAAUCCAGCUGAAGGCGAGGGUGAAUCAAGUUAUGACUUGUCCAAUGCAAAGUCUGUGUCGAAUGCUGGAGGUGGUGGUUAUGAAUCAGGCCAGAGCUCCGAGGCAGUAGGAGAGGAUGAGUACACUGGCGAGGCAGAUGCGGACGAAGAAGAUGGUCACUUGCAGAACAAGAUGGAUGAUGAAGAUACAGAUGGUCAUAGUUCUUAUGACGAUGAGUCUCAUGAGUCGGACGAAGAGGAGGUGCCGAUUCCUGCAUCAUGGAAUCAACACUUCUCUUCAGCUAUGAUCGUGAACGAUGGGCAUGACUCUGCAUGGCAAUAUCAUCAGAACAACAUUGCGAAGGGUGCCAGAUUUCCUGACAAGAAACAUCUGCAGGAUGCCAUAGUUGCUUGGGCAAUGUCCACGCAAAGGGUUUUCAAAACAACAGUCUCUUCACAAAAAUAUCUGACAAUGGAGUGCGAACAAAUAGAUUGUCCCAGGAGGGUGCAUGGCUAUGUUCCUAAGUAUGACACAGAUUGGGUUGUGAGUGAUUUGGUGUUGCACACAUGUGUCAUUCCCCGUAUCCCUCAAGCCCAUCGUAACCUCUCGUCGACGCUUCUUGCUCGGUUGCUUUACACGGAGAUAGUGGAGAGCAAAGCAAUGGAAGUGAAGGCCAUCAUGCAUAAGGUCAGGGUAAGGUUUAAGUACAACAUUUCGUAUGGCAAGGCUUGGAGGGCUAAGCAGAGGGCUCUUGAGGAAAGAUUUGGUUUGUUUUUCGACUCGUAUGACUCUGUUGUCCGCCUCCUCCAUACACUGCAAGCCCGUAAUCCAGGCACCUAUGUCGACAUCCAACACUUCCUGCACCCAGAGUAUCCAACUGUGAGGGUGCUGCAACGACUGUUCUUCACUUUCGGUGUAUGCAUCCAAGCUUUCCAUCAUUGUCAACCGGUGUUAUGCGUAGAUGGAACUUUUCUCACUGGCAAAUACAGGGGGCAGAUCUUGACCGCCCAUUGGUCAAGACGACAACAAUCAAAUUGUUCCGCUCGCAUUUGCUUUCGUGGAGGGUGAGAACACUGAAAGUUGGUUAUGGUUUUUCAGGCAGCUCAAGAGAGAAGUUGUGCAUGAUAAGCCGAAUGUGUGCAUCCUUCAUGAUAGACAUGCAGGCAUACUCAGUGCGAUAAGAACACUGACAAACCCUGGGCCUGAUGAACAGACUCCAUGGCAGGACAUGCAGAGUCGUUGGUGCAUGCGGCAUUUGGGGGCCAACUUCUUCUCGCAGUUCAGGAACAAGUCACUUAUGAAUCUAUUCAAGAAACUCUGCAAACAAAACCAACAAUGGAAGUACACUAGGAUACGUGGUUAGCUUGAUGAGUUCACGAAGAAACAUGUUAGGGAGAGGACAGCGGCAUGAAACGCGGCGGUAGCAGCAGAUGUAGCAGCAGUGGCUGCAUAGACAGCAGUUGAAACAGGACCAUCUGAGGAAGAACCGGUUGGGCUUUGUGACUUGCCAGGGUUUGACCCACCCGGCACUAGGAGAAGGGUUGGGAGGUAGAUUAAAAACUUUCAGCAGUGGAUAGAGCACGAGCCUCUGGAGCGGUGGUCUUUGCUGCACGACACACAUGGCGCUAGGUACGGCGUCAUGACUACUAACCUGGCAGAGACAUACAACUUUGUCCUGAGGGGAAAUAGGGCUUUACCACUUACAGCCAUCGUCGAGGGUAUUUUCCAUGGCACGGUGAAGUAUUUUAGAGAAAGACGACAGAGAGCUGAAAUGCAUAUGAUGAACAACCCAAAUACACCGUACUGUGAAAAGAUUAUGAAGUAUAUGGAUAUGAAGAUGGAAAAAGCUAGGUCUCAUACUGUCGUCGCCAUCGGUAAUCAAGAACACAGGUUUGAGGUGUGCCUGCCAACUAACAAGUUCGGCGUUGGAAAUGAAUUGAGGACACAGGAGGUGAAGAUUGGAAAUGAAGCGUGACCAACGUGUGAGUGCACCUGCAACAAACCAAAGUUGCUUCACCUUCCUUGCUCACAUGUACUUGCUGCUUGCGGGCAGCUAGGGAUGGACGCAAUCUCAUUUGUGUCUCCCUAUUACCUGAAAGAGUCUGUGCUUAGCACAUGGACGGGUGAGAUGCUAGGGUUUUGUGCAAUGGGCAAUUUCAACAAGGUAACUCCUGGUGAAAGGCGGUACAUCCCUGACCCCGGGCUACUGCGGACAGGCACAGGCAGACUCCCGUCCAGGCGCAUCCGAAAUGAUAUGGAUGAAUCUGAAGCCGGAGGACCGUCAUGACAAUGUUUUCUAUGCAACCAUUUUGGCCACAGGGACACUUAUUGUCCAACUUUCGGUACUGGUGAAGCUACUGCCCGUGGAAGAGGGAGACGUGGACGACGAGGGAGAGGAAGAAACUAGGCUUAUCAUGCAUAUGUGAAACUAUGUGUUAAUUUGUACCCUAUGUUUUAAUUUGUACUAUAUGUGAAACUUUGUGUUAAUUUGUACUCCAUGAAACUAUGUGUUAAUUUGUACUCUAUGUGGAACUAAGUUUUAUUUAGUACUCUGUGAAACUAAGUGUUAAUUUGUGCCCUAUGUUUUAAUUUGUACUCUGUGUGGAACUGUGUGUUAAUUUUACGCUUUGUUCAACUAUGUUUUAAUAUGUACUCUCGGUUUAACUAUGCUUAACUUUAAUUUGUAUGUCUAACUAUGUUUAUAAAUGUUACAGGCACAAAAUGGAGAGAGUAUCAUUGCUAUCUCCAGAGAUUGAGAGUAAGCAU